rnacentral:tRNA from 1 species
GGGGUUGUGGCGGAACUGGUAGACGCGCCAGACUCAAAAUCUGGUUCCUUCGGGAGUGGGAGUUCGAUUCUCCCCGGCCCUACCA